rnacentral:rRNA from 1 species
CGUUGGUGAACCAGCGGAGGGAUCAUUACCGAGUUAUACAACUCAUCAACCCUGUGAACAUACCUAUAACGUUGCCUCGGCGGGAACAGACGGCCCCGUAACACGGGCCGCCCCCGCCAGAGGACCCCCUAACUCUGUUUCUAUAAUGUUUCUUCUGAGUAAACAAGCAAAUAAAUUAAAACUUUCAACAACGGAUCUCUUGGCUCUGGCAUCGAUGAAGAACGCAUCGAAAUGCGAUAAGUAAUGUGAAUUGCAGAAUUCAGUGAAUCAUCGAAUCUUUGAACGCACAUUGCGCCCGCCAGUAUUCUGGCGGGCAUGCCUGUUCGAGCGUCAUUACAACCCUCAGGCCCCCGGGCCUGGCGUUGGGGAUCGGCGGAAGCCCCCUGCGGGCACAACGCCGUCCCCCAAAUACAGUGGCGGUCCCGCCGCAGCUUCCAUUGCGUAGUAGCUAACACCUCGCAACUGGAGAGCGGCGCGGCCACGCCGUAAAACACCCAACUUCUGAAUGUUGACCUCGAAUCAGGUAGGAAUACCCGCUGAACUUAUGCAUAUCAAUAAGCGGAGG